rnacentral:misc_RNA from 1 species
AUGGGCAUAUGGGCACGUGAGUAGAGGGAAGUUGUUGCUGGGAAUCUGUUGAAGUAGUUAUUAGUAAUUAGAGGGAAAUUGUAAGUAGUUGUGGUUGUUAGAGGAAGUUAGAGCAAUUAUAGGAAUUGGAGGGAAAAUUGUAAGUAGUUGCAGAUGUUGAAGGAGGUUAGAGCAGUUGUAGGAAUUGGAGGAAAAUGUGUAUAAAAAGUAUUUAGCUUACUUGUAAUUGGCAU